AAAGGAAAUGCGGGUAAGACAGAUGACGAUUAUCGUUGUGUGGCAAAAUACAACCCAAAGGGUGUAAAUUUUUUUUUUAGAGUGUAGAAAAAUCUGCGCUCAUGCCCAUAUUUAGUGGUAUAGCUGAACGGCAAUGGUCGACAGGUUUUCCUCCGCUAACCCGGGCCCGCACACUCGCGAACGUUGUCUCGCGUAAGGAACAUUUACCGAUUUGGCUGGCAUUCGUGUGCCCGUCCCUCGUGACAUAGCUGUCGGCGUUAUAACAAGAUUGCGGCGGCGGCGACAAAUCUUGGAUUGCACUUACGUAAGAUUUUGCGAUAUUGCGCGUGCGGUGACGCCGCGGAUGAGUAUGUCUAACGCGUUAAAGACACUGCAGCCGGUGUUGCUCCGAGACGCAGCCGGCGUUACUCGAUGCUGAGUCAUCGCUGGUGGGGCUUGCGCGUUUCUUUCGCGAGUGCGCAAACUUGUCCGCGUACUACCUCGACCAGUAGCCACGGGUCCGGCUCCAUUUUAGCCCCGAAGACGACACGCGGCGGCAUUUCUUUUUUUUUUUUUUUUUUUUUUUUGCGAGCUGCAGAGCGAUUUCGAGCGGCCGACGCAACGCAACGGGGCCCAUGUCGGCGCUUCUGCAUAUAUCGCCCGUGUCCCUGGAAUUCUUCGGCGCAGGAAACUUCCUGCUCACGGCGCGGUUAGCGUGCAUUUCUCUACUGCAUCGAGGACUGCGCGUGACGUCACUCUCACCCUUGCGUGUCGUUCAUCGUGUUGCAGCAGUAAGUGAAAUCCACGCGGGUCGCCAUUUCUACCAAGCCUACAUAAUUCACGGGAAAGCCUUUCAACUGGACCGAAAAAGGCGUUCUUGGCUGAUGCCAGUAUAGACAAGUGCCUAGAACAGAAGUGGAAACCAGGAAGAAAAAGAGUUCACAUCACAAGAUGCUGCUCGUCGGACGGAAGGUACCUCUGACGGCCACAAUUUGAGCUCUUGUCUUGAAUUUGCGUUGUGUUCUGCAUUGAGUUGUACACUGAAGAGAUUCGAAAUAAAAGAAUGGGUAUCAGUUUGGGCAGCGCCAAACAGGCAACAAGGA